GGGGUCGUAGCUCAGCUGGGAGAGCGCCUGGAUGGCAUCCAGGAGGUCUGGGGUUCGAUCCCCCACGGCUCCACCA
rnacentral:tRNA from 1 species